GAUGAACGCUAGCGGCAGGCCUAAUACAUGCAAGUCGAGGGGUAGGGUUAGCUUGCUAACCUGAGACCGGCGCACGGGUGCGUAACGCGUAUGCAAUCUACCUCUAUCUGGGGGAUAGCCCGAAGAAAUUCGGAUUAACACCGCAUAAAAUCACAGUACGGCAUCGUACAAUGAUCAAAUAUUUAUAGGAUAGGGAUGAGCAUGCGUGUCAUUAGUUAGUUGGCGGGGUAACGGCCCACCAAGACCACGAUGACUAGGGGAUCUGAGAGGAUGACCCCCCACACUGGUACUGAGACACGGACCAGACUCCUACGGGAGGCAGCAGUAAGGAAUAUUGGUCAAUGGAGGCAACUCUGAACCAGCCAUGCCGCGUGCAGGAAGACGGCCCUCUGGGUUGUAAACUGCUUUUAUUCGGGAAUAAACCUACUUACGUGUAAGUAGCUGAAUGUACCGAA
rnacentral:rRNA from 1 species